rnacentral:rRNA from 1 species
GUGCCAGCAGCCGCGGUAAUACGGAGGGGGUUAGCGUUGUUCGGAAUUACUGGGCGUAAAGCGCGCGUAGGCGGAUCAGAAAGUUGGGGGUGAAAUCCCGGGGCUCAACCUCGGAACUGCCUCCAAAACUCCUGGUCUUGAGUUCGAGAGAGGUGAGUGGAAUUCCGAGUGUAGAGGUGAAAUUCGUAGAUAUUCGGAGGAACACCAGUGGCGAAGGCGGCUCACUGGCUCGAUACUGACGCUGAGGUGCGAAAGUGUGGGGAGCAAACAGGAUUAGAUACCCUGGUAGUCCACACCGUAAACGAUGAAUGCCAGUCGUCGGCAAGCAUGCUUGUCGGUGACACACCUAACGGAUUAAGCAUUCCGCCUGGGGAGUACGGUCGCAAGAUUAAAACUCAAAGGAAUUGACGG